rnacentral:misc_RNA from 1 species
UGGACAGGCCAUUGCUAUGAACCUAGGUACUUGAUCCCCUGGCAUCAAAACUGGCAGGCUUUCUGCCUUAUUUCUCUUUGAUUCCUGAUGAGGAGUAGGUUUCUGGGGUAAUUGCUCGAUAUCUUGCGGAGUAUGGGAGUUUUCUUCAGUGGAAGCUCCGAAUAGAUAUCGUAGCUUGUCCCAGUGAAGGCAGCAAGUGAAAAACCCACUCAUCAAAAACAACAUGACCAAUAAAAGGGCUAAACCUAGAGGAAAACCUAUGGAGGGUCGACUUGAUUCUUCACUUUCCAUUGCUUCUUGCUUAAUUUUUAAUUUCUCCCGUAAAAUCAAAUGAACGA